AGUGAACGCUGGCGGUAGGCCUAACACAUGCAAGUCGAACGGCAGCACAGUAAGAGCUUGCUCUUACGGGUGGCGAGUGGCGGACGGGUGAGGAAUACAUCGGAAUCUACUUUUUCGUGGGGGAUAACGUAGGGAAACUUACGCUAAUACCGCAUACGACCUACGGGUGAAAGCAGGGGAUCUUCGGACCUUGCGCGAUUGAAUGAGCCGAUGUCGGAUUAGCUAGUUGGCGGGGUAAAGGCCCACCAAGGCGACGAUCCGUAGCUGGUCUGAGAGGAUGAUCAGCCACACUGGAACUGAGACACGGUCCAGACUCCUACGGGAGGCAGCAGUGGGGAAUAUUGGACAAUGGGGGCAAGCCUGAUCCAGCCAUACCGCGUGGGUGAAGAAGGCCUUCGGGUUGUAAAGCCCUUUUGUUGGGAAAGAAAAGCAGCAGGUUAAGACCCCGCUGUUCUGACGGUACCCAAAGAAUAAGCACCGGCUAACUUCGUG
rnacentral:rRNA from 1 species